rnacentral:misc_RNA from 1 species
GGCCCAAAAUCAAUAAAACAAGUGGAUAGAAUUUGGGCAUAAAAAUGGACAAUCCAAUGACGAAGAAAACUCAUCUGACCUGUAAUAUAACAAAAUGUACAAUUUGGGGACUCAACUAACUCUCACAACCACAAUUAUAUCCAAUAUCACAAUGGGGAACUCAGCUCCCCCUAAGUCCAACAUUCCAUAUACAUAAUAAGUUUAACAAGUUUUACAACAUAAGAGAAACUAAUAUAGUCACUGCGGAGUUUUAAAUAUAACAAAAAUAAAUACAGUUAAUACAUCAAUAGUUUAAGUUUCUUUGCAAGAAAGAAAGUAGGUUAACUUCAAAUAAUAUCCACCGAUCACCUGGAAAAAAUAAUUGAAUAAGGAUGAGUGUUCGACUCAGAGAGCUAGAAAUUGAUUAUAAUUAUAAUUAAAAUUUCUAUAGCUAUCUAAAAUUAAUGCAAUCCUAA